AAUCGCGUCAUCAACUGCCCGGACCGCCCACUUUACACACUAAGUGGGCGGACGGGCAGGGGGGACCCCACGAAUCGGGAGACUUGCCUGCUCUUCCGGGGGGCCGGGAGGGUCACCCGAUUUUCGGGAGCCUCCCGGCCAUUCCGGGAGAGUAGGCAAGUAUGAGCUGGAGGGUAUGCAACUGCCACCUGACUUAGUGGCAGCUCAGGAGCCGUGCUGUGUGGAGUCCGCAGUGGAGCCGAGGAAGCAUGCAGUGUGCAGCGACUGACACACAGAGGACCAUUCUUGAUCUUGUCUCCUGCGUCCAACACAAAGCACUCGUCAGUCAGGAGCAUGGACAUAGAGAACGGACUUUCUUCUGAAACCACAGUAAUCUCCAUGGAGCCGCUCGCAUCUGAGACCUGCAAUAUAAAUGCAAUAUAAAUACUCGUGUACAGUAAAAAUUAAUGUAUAUAAUAAACUGCAAGGUGCGAUACAUACGUAAAAUACACAACAAUAGCUAAAUAUUACAA